UCCCUGGCAGUUCAGUGGUUAGGACUCAGCACUUUCAUUGCUGGGACCCAGGUUCAAUCCCUGGUUGGAGAA
rnacentral:tRNA from 1 species